GGGCGCGUAGCUCAGUGGGAGAACACUGCCUUCACACGGCAGGGGGCGCUGGUUCGAACCCAGCCGCGCCCACCA
rnacentral:tRNA from 1 species